AGAGAAUAGAGAUUUUUUUUAAUCUGACAAUUUGUUAUUAUUUAUUUGUUUGGUUCUCUUAGCCAACUGUGGGCAAACCAGCGAGGCUACUGGUGGGCAGCGUAUAAUUUUAAGAGCAGCGUUGACAUAUCCUGUCCAAUGACGAUUGCGUUUCCUAGGCAUAGCCGCUUGGUAGGAGUAUGUCUUGUUAGUGUUGCCACAGCGAACCUAGCUAUCAUAGAGCUCUCUGGGGAAUCUGCGCAUUAGUUCAGAGACCCCAGACUCUAUCCACAGGACUGUGAUCGUAUUAGAUGUAUCAUCAGCUGAUUACCUUCAUGCAAGGAUAUCCGUUAAGUGAACGCAAUCAAGAGGCGUGAAUAAUAUAAAAUAUUGGAUGUUCCUCAUCGCAGCUGUUUGCUUUGGGUAUCCUGGGAUGGCCUGGAUAAGGAUUUCUUGUGUAUAAUAUAUCUCCCUGCUGUCAAUUUCGUUUGAUGACGGAAGUAUUGCAACGCUUGGCGAAAUGUACGCCAUCACUUGCAAGGCUCGGUAUAACUUGGAGAAGCGUUCGAAAAAGGGGAUUGAGGGUUUUAAUGGAAUGUGCCAUUAGUUUUGAUGUAGAAGUAACAAUUCUGGCCCGUAACACCACAGCUCGUUGUUACCUUGUUCGUGUGGUGGGCGCCUCUGCUUGCUCAGCUGGAUUGUACGCGGAUAUACAUAGGCCCAUUAGCUGGCAUUGGUGGCCUGAGUAAUUUAUUUGAUACAAACAUAGUUUAUUCUUAUGAAGCCAGGCUUGCAAAAAUGUGUAAUCUUUCGAAUAGAUUGACUCACAGCCAGCGGCAGGUAACUGGGGAAUGAGUUAUUAGGAAGACAAAGGAAUGAAAUUAUUAAUAAAGUAAAGAAAUUUAAACUAGAAAGUAAUUGAAAAUCACCGACCCGGUGGUGGAAAAUGUAUAGCAUGUCAGUAAGAUGGUCAGUAAGAUCCCGAAAGUGUCCUGAAAGCAACUAUUUUAUUAGAGGUAGAGAAAGUUCGGUGGAGAAAAUGUGAUGCAAACUGUUGUAAUUUUUACAUAACACGCGAAAAGAGUUGUCUAUAACGUAGUCUGUUGUGCAGGUAGGUAGGAAUAAGGGGCAGUAAUUCCUGGUCUACACGGAACAGAGCAUUGAAGACGACCUUACGGACUACCGAUUGUAAUACGAUUAAAGAUCAUAAAAAUACACUUUGGACAAUUUAGAUGCAAUUUAAUGGCCAAAAAGAUAUUUGUAUAUAAUAGAAUAAGCUUCACAUAUUCCGCAUACGGAAGUACCCAGGCAUGUGACUACUUUGUGGAACACCAGAAGUAACAUGAACCUAUUUAGAGGUAGUCAGCCUUAGCAUUACUCUUUGGGUCCUACAUAUUAAACGUAAGAAGAAAUCCAAUUCA